rnacentral:rRNA from 1 species
AUGGACGCUGGCGGCGUGCUUAACACAUGCAAGUCGAACGAUGAAGCCCAGCUUGCUGGGUGGAUUAGUGGCGAACGGGUGAGUAACACGUGAGCAACCUGCCCCUGACUCUGGGAUAAGCGCUGGAAACGGCGUCUAAUACUGGAUAUGUCCCGUCACCGCAUGGUGUGCGGGUGGAAAGAUUUUUCGGUUGGGGAUGGGCUCGCGGCCUAUCAGCUUGUUGGUGAGGUAAUGGCUCACCAAGGCGUCGACGGGUAGCCGGCCUGAGAGGGUGACCGGCCACACUGGGACUGAGACACGGCCCAGACUCCUACGGGAGGCAGCAGUGGGGAAUAUUGCACAAUGGGCGGAAGCCUGAUGCAGCAACGCCGCGUGAGGGAUGACGGCCCUCGGGUUGUAAACCUCUUUUAGCAGGGAAGAAGCGAAAGUGACGGUACCUGCAGAAAAAGCACCGGCUAACUACGUG